GAGCUUAGAGAAGGUUGGGAGACAUGUUCAAGUGUUUCUCAUUAGGGAUGGAAGGACAAAAUGGAUCUGAGUAUGCAGUCACUUAUGAAGAUAAAGAUGGAGAUUGGAUGUUGGUUGGAGAUGUUCCAUGGGGGAUGUUCAUCUCCUC